GCCUUUGGGAGACGCGGUGGCUUAAUGGUUAGGCGCGUUGGACUCCGGAUCGAGAGGUCCAGGUUCGAGCUCUGGCCGGGGUA